AAGACAGAGGGUACCUUAUGCAGCGUGGGGCAUUCCAAGUGAAUGCCAUUCCUUAACGCUUGGCCCUCAGCCUCCGGAAAGACCAAAGCAGUCUUAGUUAAUCAUUCUCCUAAUUUGCUCCAACCACUGUUGAAGCACUUUUCCUACAUGUUCCUAUGGUGACAACCCUGAGGGACUGUGCGAGUUCUCUGCUUUGUGAGGAAACGUUGACUUUCAGAGAUGUUAAGUAAUGGACUCCUAGAUGCACACUUGGAAACUUCCAGAGUCAGGACUCAGACCCUGAUUUUUCCAGCUUCUGAACCACAGGCAGAGUGGACAGUGAGAGAGAGACAGAGAGAAAGGUCUUCUUUCCGUUGGUUCACCCUCCAAUGGCCGCCGGGGCCGGCGCACCGCACUGAUCCAAAGGCAGGAGCCAGGUACUUCUCCUGGUCUCCCAUGCGGGUGCAGGGCCCAAACACUUGGGCCAUCCUCCACUGCACUCCCUGGCCACAGCAGAGAGCUGGCCUGGAAGAGGAGCAACCGGGACAGAAUCCGGUGCCCCGACUGGGAGUAGAACCUGGUGUGCUGGCGCCGCAAAGCGGAGGAUUAGCCUAGUGAGCUGUGGCGCCGGCCCUCAUCAUCUCCUUUGUUUCGCUUCUCCUGGCCCAAAAGCCCUGGCUUCCAAGCACAUUCUCCAGUGCAUAAUGAUUGCACGCCGUCCCAGCCACAGCUCUCCUGAUGGGUACCUGUGCCAAGCACUGGGGAAUAAAGCCUCCGAUAAAUUCAAAGGCAGAAGUUGCUGAAUGUGCUACAGAUACCUUUCAGUUAAAUUUUCACUCUUGGAGUUGUGAAAACUAAAAAUAUUAAGAUCUGUGGCACACUUCCUAGAGACAAUGCGCGUCUGGAACACCUCGUGCCUGCCUCUACCUGUGAGAGCGUGAAACGGCUGGAUGUGGCACGAACGCUAAUUAUAUACUCUUGUUAAUUGUAUAUGUCUUUGAAGUGGUGGCAAAGUGUAACUCGGGGGAUGGUGGGCGGAGCUGGGAAUCAAGAAGAGAGCUUCCUGAGACAGGCCCGAGCGUGUGCGAAGGUGGAAGAUUUCGGUGAUCUCUGGUGCCUUCCUUCGAGACCCUGGCGCUGGUUUUCAGUCCCUGCUGAAGAAAUCGGCGCCUGGGGAAUGCAAUCAGCGAUGACGUCAUGACUUGAACCAGGUCACGCGGCUUGAGGUCAAGGCCUGUCACAUCCCCUGCCUGGGGUCAAUUUAAUGGGUGUAUUAAUCCCUGCUUGUUCUGUACGGUAAUAAACUUCUUAAUGUAACUCCUCAGAAGAGGUAAAACACUUUGUAAAAAUACCUUUACUAUUCCACUCCUUAUGAGACAAUUAGCUGGCAAGCGAUUUUAACUGCUAUCUUGUGGAUGUUGAAAUUGAGGCUGCGAUUUUAAAUAGUUUACCUAGGUCAUAGAUGAGGUCUACAAAAACGCAAAUUAAGCAAAAAAUUUGGAAAAUGGACAGCAACUGGAUUGAACAAGGGCCAAUGUAGUCACUCAAACCCAUGGUGAAUCAGAACUCGUGCCUUUGAUUGUUAGUAGGUCUCCAGUGUUGCAGAAAUUAGCCGCUGCGUAAAUGAUCUUUUUAGAAUUAUUUAAGUGUGAACUUGUCAAAGUUUUCAAAACAAUGAAAAGAGUGUAAUAUCAAAAAAGUAGAGCACAAAAGCCUCAUUUUUGCUUCAUAUAACUGUCAAAGAGUCAGGGUGCCUCUCAGACAUUUCUCCAAGCUGCCCUUGUCAUGUUAAUGUUCUAAGGUUAUACUGUUUAUUUACAACUUGGCAAACCAGGGCAGUAUUGAAAGGUAAAUAUUUAUUUCCCAAUUUGCUGUUUUUUCUCUUUUUCAUGUGCAGAAUAUAAUUUUGUGCUUUCUACCACUAUAGCCUUUCUUUCUUUUCCAUCUGUCUGUCUGUCUUUGCAUGAGCUUGGGCUCCUACAUUUUACUUGCCAUUGAGUUUGGUGGCAUUAAAUGCUAAGCACCCAGCAGCACUCCCUCCGUGCCCCCCUCUAGCACCUGCCUCCCCAGAGAGGCCUCCUUCCUUUGCCCGGAUGCUGCAGCUUCGGGCUCUGUAACUCAGCGCCUCCCGCUCAGUCCUCCGGCCCUUAAUGUGCUCUUUCAUCUCCACGGUCCUUGACACCACACAGACAUCCCAUGUCGAAAUCUCCGUCAGAGUCUCGACUUGUCUGCUAGACUAAACAGAGACGAGGAAACAGGUAAUGACAGGAUUGAAACAUGGUUGGGGGAUCUUGGGAGGGAAAAAGAAGGUAAGAAAAAAAUAUUUGAUGAACAACAUAGUCACCCAAGCUUGUGGUGUCUCCUCAGAGCUUCCCAAUGUUUGGAAGUUUUCCCAAGGCUUGCCCUGGUGAGACAGAAAAGACUUAUUAGCUCAUUGCGUCUGCUUCUCCACCUGGGCAGGAAAGAGUCUCCCAUACGGGGAACAUAUGGCUUGGUCUUAGAUUAGCAGCAAAGAAUGUCAGUUGGCAGACAGAUGGAGGAGAAGCGGAGGAUUGUGUGAGUGUUGCUAGCCUGGACUCCAACAAAUGGAUUUUUAAAAAUCACAUCCAGUUAGUUCCGUUAUGAAAAUAAACACUGGCCAGCCGGAGCAGUGGAAGAAGAGUUAGCAUUUAUGGAACACACGUUGCAAUCUAAGUGUGGGGUUUUACGGAUCUUUCUUGCUAGUCCUCGCCGGUCGUUUUCUUGUCUCCAUUUUACAGAUGAAUAAAGUGAGGAUCAGAAGUGUGUGGUCAUCUUAUCCCAGGUCACGCAGCCAAGUCCAGUGGCAGAGCCCAACCCCCCACCCAGGAGUUUCAUUUGAAAAUCAGUGCUUUUUGGAAGAGGUAAAUCAGAGAUGGUAAAAAUGGCUUCAUAUGCUUCUUAGCUACUUGUUUGAUUCUUUGGAACCCAAAUAAAAGGAAACGCCCCUUCCUGCUUUCUUCUCUCCCCCUCUUCCACCUUUUCUUCCUCUCCCUUGCCACCCUCUCUUUAAUUUUAAAGAUUUACUCAAUUAUUAUUUGAAAGGUAGAAUGACAGAGAGAAGAGAGGUCUUCCAUCUGUUGCUUCACUCCCCCAGUACCUUGCAAUAGCUGAGGCUUGGCCAGGCCAAAGCCAGGAGCCAGGAGCCAGGAACUCCAUCUAGGUCUCCCUCCUGGAUGUUGGAACCCAGGUCCUUAGGCCACCAUCUGCUGCCUCCUGAGUGAAUUAGCAGGCAUCUGAAAUGAGAUGUGCGCAUCCCAAGCAGCAGCUUAACUCACUGUAUCACAAUGCAUCCCACCCCCUUAAAUUGUGUUGCUGUAGCUGCUACACCCAUUGCUUCAUUUAAUGAGAAUAUAGAAGUAGGCUUUGGGGAAUGGAAACAAGAAAGAGGACAUGGAAAGAAAGCAGGAAUGAAAGAAUCAGACCUGAUAAAAAUUCACCAUCUCACCCUUUCCCACCUGCUUUUUAAGGAGGGAAGACCGUUACUUCUUGGCUUAGAUUGGGAGCUCGUUGGGCAGAAUCCAAGGGAGGAUGGGGAGUAGAUAUUGAUUCCCGAAGAAAAGGAAGGAAGACUGCAGCAUUGAUUUUCGUAAUGAAGGGAGAGAGGCUGAUAAGGGGGAGGGUGUAAUUGUGAAUUCAAUUUCCUUUUUCUUUUUCCCUAUGUACUUCUGCUACUAUGGUCUUUUUGUUUGCAUAUUUAUUUGUUUAUUUAUUUAUUUUUUGGGGGGUAGAGAGAGAGAGAUACUGCCAUCUUCUAGUUCACUCCAAAAAUGCUUGCAGCAGGGACAUGCUGAAGGCAGGAAUCAGGAACUCAUUACAGCUCUCCCAUGUGGAUAGCAGGGACCCAAGUACUUGAGCCAUUAACUGGGUCCACCUAAGAAGGAAGCUAGAAUCGGAAGCAGAAUGGGAUGUGGGCGAACCAAGUGGCGUCUUAACCACG